UACGGGAGGGGCAAGCGUUGUUCGGAAUUACUGGGCGUAAAGGGCUCGUAGGCGGCCAACUAAGUCGGAUGUGAAAUCCCCAGGCUCAACCUGGGAACUGCAUCCGAUACUGGAUGGCUUGAAUUCGGGAGAGGGAUGCAGAAUUCCAGGUGUAGCGGUGAAAUGCGUAGAUAUCUGGAGGAAUACCGGUGGCGAAGGCGGCAUCCUGGACCGACAUUGACGCUGAUGAGCGAAAGCUAGGGGAGCAAACGGG
rnacentral:rRNA from 1 species